rnacentral:rRNA from 1 species
UCGGGAAUUUUGGGCAAUGGGCGAAAGCCUGACCCAGCAACGCCGCGUGAAGGAUGAAGUAUUUCGGUAUGUAAACUUCGAAAGAAUAGGAAGAAUAAAUGACGGUACUAUUUAUAAGGUCCGGCUAACUACGUGCCAGCAGCCGCGGUAAUACGUAGGGACCAAGCGUUGUUCGGAUUUACUGGGCGUAAAGGGCGCGUAGGCGGCAAUUCAAGUCAUCUGUGAAAUCUCCGGGCUUAACUCGGAACGGUCAGAUGAUACUGCUUUGCUAGAGUGCAGAAGGGGCAAUCGGAAUUCUUGGUGUAGCGGUGAAAUGCGUAGAUAUCAAGAGGAACACCUGAGGUGAAGACGGGUUGCUGGGCCAACACUGACGCUGAGGCGCGAAAGCCAGGGGAGCAAACGGGAUUAGAUACCCCCGUAGUCCCUGAGCGGGCUGGCAAGGCGCAU